ensembl:lncRNA
CUGAACAGUAUGGUCAAGGAUCCUGAUGAUGGAUUGUCAGCCACCCACUUGGCUGUCAUGCAGGUGCUGUUUGAUAUCCGCACGGCUGGUCAGGGACUGUUUGUGAAAGUUGUCUUUGGAAAAAGACCCUCAUUUGUCCGAUUCUAGCAGGGAACCUAUGACAGACGAAAUAGUGCAUCUGAGUUCCAUCAAAGAGAGCCACGCGUCACAUCACUGCUCAACCUUGCAGCGCAAAGAGCAGGCAAGGGGUCUGUUUGGCCACACGCUCUGCCAAGACUGCAGUGCUGUAGUCUGCAGAUAGAUCCACUAUAACCUACAAUAAGAUACCCUCUGCACCUCUCCCCUGUGAGACUGAGGUCUCAGCAGUUCAGCUGAAUCCUAGAGAUCUCAGGUGGCAAAACCCCCACAAACAUUACAGAGAUCACGGAGAAGGCACCACUUGCGGCAGCUGAAGAAACCCAAAACAAAUGUCUUACAUGACUCCAGGGGCAAGGAAGCGUGCAGGAAAGCUCAUCGCUGAAACCUCCCACCACCGUCACCCACUUUCCCCAAGAGUAUUCUUCAACGAGCCGAAGGCAGGAUGGCGGUGCAGGUUAUGACCAAAGAAUCCCACCACCUGAACAGUUCCCUGUGCUGUGGCCCUUAGAUAACCUGUCCCAUAGAGACUAACUAGACCAGGCUGACCACGAAACACCCCGUCUAGAAAGUAAACUGAAUGGACUCUACUCUCCACACCUCUCAUUUCCCUGAACAUAGAUUGAGUAUACCGAUACUGUAAAAGUGAAGGCAGGAACAGACCAUCUGCAACAGCAGACCCCCAACACAGCCUUAACUACCCAGAGAGAUUUGAACGCCAUGCCUCUCAUUCCGGCACUCCACAUGCUCUCAUUCGUCAAGGCGUAUGGAACAAUGCAGAACCUCAAGCAGAAUAGAAGAGCUUUCCUCUGUCCUCCACACAUCCUGAGAGAGGAUAUAUCCAAGAUCUUUCCUCUGUCCUCCACACAUCCUGAGAGAGGAUAUAUCCAAGAUCGGUUUGGUGUGUGUAACUGCGUUCAUUCAAA